GUUAUUUUUACUCUUUAGGACAGAGGAAACGGUAAGGACUCACUUUAAGCUGUACUAUAAUUUAUUAUCUUAUUAUUAGCAGUAACUGAUCACUUGCUAUGUAUAAAGCAUUUUGGCAAGAAGUAGCCAACUAAAAGCCAACUAAGUCACUUUGUGUCCAACUCUGCGACCCCAUGGACUGUGUCCCACCAGGCUCCUCUGCCCAUGGGAUUCUCCAGGCAAGAAGACUGGAGUGGGUUGCCAUUUCCGUCUCUAGGGGAUCUUUCUGACCUAGGGAUCAAACCGAGUCCCUUGCAUCUCUGGCAUUGGCAGGCAGACGCUUAAACCUCUGAGCCACCAGGGGAGGAGAGGGACACAAUUCAGUCCAUAACAGGGAUACUAGGGGCUUGAAUGAAGAUGGUUUCCUUGGGCAUGGAGAAGAAAGACACCUGGAGCCAUCAUGAAAGCAGAACUAACAACUCUCAGCGAAAGCCUGGAUAUUUUGGCGAGGGAGAAGAUGCCCAUGGAGACUGUAUUUCCUGAAAGAGGAGAGCUUGACACAAAAGGGAGACAAAAGGGAAGGAAAGGAAGCUGGAAACAAAGAAACCAAAGAUGGUCUCAGGUGAACAGAAGAAGAAGCAGGCCACUGGACUCACUCUGCAGAUUUGGGAGGGCUCACGUUUUCCUUUUAGUUAAGAUGAGAAUGCUUAGAGAGCACAAGUGAUUGGGAAGACACAUGAAAAUGCAGAAGAUGGAAAACAAGGGAUUCCCCCAUUCCCAAGGGUAGUCUCAAUUUUCUUGGUAAAGCUCAAGACAUGUUGUGGUAGGAACAUCUGGGUUGUUAGUUAAGGAACUCAAGUUUCAUGUUUGAGAAUCAAAAAGGGUGUUGGGGUCCCAGCUCUGAGCUUUCCCUUCUCCGAAAUGCUGUUUUUCUAGAAGAGGAAGUCCCUCUCCCUGAGCUUCACCUGAGAUAUGAAUGUACAGAGAGAGAGUGAAGUCACUCAGUCAUGCCUGACUCUUUGCCACCCCAUGGACUGUAGACUACCAGGCUCCUCCCUCCAUGGGAUUCUGUGGGUUGCCAUUUCCUUCUCCAGGGGAUCUUCCCGACCCAGGGAUCGAACCUUGGUCUCCUGCAUUCCAGGC
ensembl:lncRNA